GUCUAUGGCCAUGCCACCCUGAACAAGCCCGAUGUCUGAUCUCGAAAGCUAAGCAGGGUCGAGCCUGGUUAGUACUUGGAUGGGAGACCACCUAGGAAGAUCAGGUGCUAUAGGCA
rnacentral:rRNA from 1 species